CUUGGCCUAAAAUAAAAAUGUUUUUAAUUGUUAUCAAAAAGUAUUUUUAAUUCGCCGGACACUAGAAUUUCCCCAACCCUGUUGCUAUUUUGCCACUUUUGUGGCCUUCUCAGACCCGCGAAAAAGCGCAUGGUCAAGGAGCUUUAAGUCAGAGUUAAAGCCAUGAUAGACACAUCUGCUGGCGUUUCAGUGAAAUUUUAUAACCUAAUUAACUUGGAGGGCCGCCCGUGGUGAGCUUGUAACUUCUUCAAUUUGGACAAAGAAAUUUCCAUUUCACCGGCGAACUGGAAUGGGAACUUGAAACUUUGGAAAGUUGUUCUCAUUCGGACUCAGCUUCUCGCUGGACUCGGCUAAUUGCGCUUUCGAGUUUCCAAUUAUAGUAGGUUAAAUAUUUAUUUAAAGCCAAAUUGUGGAGUAAGCUGCAAAUGUGAAACGUGGCCGGUGCUCCGCCCACAGAAAAUGGAA
rnacentral:sRNA from 1 species